rnacentral:rRNA from 1 species
GGUAGCAUAAUCAUUAGCCUUUUAAUUGGAGGCUUGUAUGAAGGGUUGGACGAGAGUAAAGCUGUUUUUAAAAAUUGAAUUGAAGUUAACUUUUAGGUGAAAAGGCUUAAAUAUUUUAAGGGGACGAUAAGACCCUAUAAAUCUUUACAAUUUAUAUAUUUGUAUACAUUUAUUAGUUUAAUGUUUAAAAGUUUUUAAGUUGUUGUGUUGGGGCGACAUGUAUAAAAAAUUAUCUGUACUUAUUUGUUUACAGGUAUUAUUGUCUUAUUUUUUAAGAUCCUAGUUAAUGAUUAAAAGAUAAAGUUACUUUAGGGAUAACAGCGUUAUUUUUCUUGAGAGUUCAUAUCGAAAGAAAAGUUUGCGACCUCGAUGUUGAAUUAAAAUUCCCAUAAGGUGCAGCAGUCUAUUUGGGGAGUCUGUUCGACUUUUAAAUUUUU